rnacentral:tRNA from 1 species
UGGUGUGUGGCUCAGUGGUAGAGUGCUUGCCUAGCACAUGAGAGGCACUGGGUUCAAACCUCAGCACCAA